UGAAAAGAGUUUUGCAGUCUGAGUUGACAAAUGAAAAUCUAUUAAAACUUUCAACAACGGAUCUCUUGGUUCCGGCAUCGAUGAAGAACGCAGCGAAAUGCGAUAAGUAAUGUGAAUUGCAGAAUUCAGUGAAUCAUCGAAUCUUUGAACGCACAUUGCGCCCCCUGGUAUUCCGGGGGGCAUGCCUGUCCGAGCGUCAUUA
rnacentral:rRNA from 1 species